rnacentral:rRNA from 1 species
CCCUUAGAUUGUCUGGGCGGCACGCGCGCUACAAUGAUGCAUUCAAAAAGUCUUCUGACCUUAGAAGGUUGGGUAUUCUCCAAAGUGCAUCGUGAUGGAAAUAGUUUAUUGCAAUUUUUAAUCUUGAACGAGGAAUUCCUAGUAAGUACAGGUCAUCAACUUGUGUUGAUUACGUCCCUGCCCUUUGUACACACCGCCCGUCGCUCCUACUGAUUGAGUGUCUCGGUGAAUUCGUUGAUCUUCUGUCGAUUCAGUUCACUGAUCCGACGGUGGAAAGUUGAAUGAACUUCGUCACUUAGAGGAAGGAGAAGUCGUAACA